UACGUAGGGAGCAAGCGUUGUUCGGAUUUACUGGGCGUAAAGGGCGCGUAGGCGGCGCGGUAAGUCACUUGUGAAAUCUCUGAGCUUAACUCAGAACGGCCAAGUGAUACUGCAGUGCUAGAGUGCAGAAGGGGCAAUCGGAAUCCUUGGUGUAGCGGUGAAAUGCGUAGAUAUCAAGAGGAACACCUGAGGUGAAGACGGGUUGCUAGGCUGACACUGACGCUGAGGCGCGAAAGCCAGGGGAGCAAACGGG
rnacentral:rRNA from 1 species